GCGUCAGUGGUUUAGUGGUAAAAUUCAUCGUUGCCAUCAAUGAGCCCCCCGUUCAAUUCCGGGCUGGCGCA
rnacentral:tRNA from 1 species